CGGAUCAAAGUGCCCGCCGCUGCCGUGCGACGUCUGGUGCCCCAACGGUCACGUGCAGGACGACAACGGUUGCGACACAUGCAUGUGUAACGCCGCAACGUGCCCUGGCGUGAUGUGCGGCCUCUGGUGUCCGGGCGGAUUGCUACAAGACGAGAACGGAUGUGACACGUGCCGCUGUAACUGGGAAGAUUUGAUUGUUGGAUGAGCUACGUCACGUGACAUGACGACCAGGAAUGAGACACCGACUUU